rnacentral:ncRNA from 2 species
AUAGCGACGUUGCUUUUU